rnacentral:rRNA from 1 species
AGAGUUUGAUCCUGGCUCAGGACGAACGCUGGCGGCGUGCCUAACACAUGCAAGUCGAGCGAUGAAAGAGAAGUGGCGGUCUUCGGACCAAAGCAUUUCUGGAUUAGCGGCGGACGGGUGAGUAACACGUGGAUAACCUGCCCCCGGGUGCGGGAUAGCCCAGGGAAACCUGGAUUAAUACCUCGUAAGACCACGCUCUGUAGGGAGAGUGGGAAAAGGCGCUUCGGCGUCGCCUGGGGAUGGGUCCGCGUCCCAUUAGCUAGAUGGUAGGGUAAGAGCCUACCAUGGCGACGAUGGGUAGCCGGCCUGAGGGGGUGAACGGCCACACUGGAACUGAGACACGGUCCAGACUCCUACGGGAGGCAGCAGCUAAGAAUCUUCCGCAAUGGGCGCAAGCCUGACGGAGCGACGCCGCGUGGGCGAGGAAGGCCGCAAGGUUGUAAAGUCCUUUUCGGGAAGGGGAAUAAGAGUGAUAGGCAAUGAUCACUUGAUGACAUGAAUCCCGGAAUAAGCCCCGGCUAACUACGUGCCAGCAGCCGCGGUAACACGGGGGUUGCAAGCGUUGUCCGGAAUUACUAGGCGUAAAGGGCAGGUAGGCGGAUCAGUAAGUUUGAUGUCAAAUCCAUCGGCUCACCCGAUGAUCGGCAUCAGAUACUGCUGAUCUGGAAUACGGUUGAGGAAGACAGAAUUCCUGGUGUAGCGGUGGAAUGCGCAGAGAUCAGGAGGAAUACCAAAUGCGAAGGCAGUCUUCUAGGCCGUUAUUGACGCUAAACUGCGAAGGUGUGGGGAUCAAACAAGGUUAGAUACCCUGGUAGUCCACACAGUAAACGCUCAUAAAGGGGUGUCGGGUUUCAAAUAAACUCGGUGCCGUAGCUAACGCGUUAAGUGAUUCGCCUGGGGAGUACGAUUCGCAAGGUUGAAACUCAAAGGAAUUGACGGGGGCCCGCACAAGCGGUGGAGCAUGUGGUUUAAUUCGAUGCAACGCGAAGAACCUUACCCGGUCUUGACAUCCGUAGGAUCCUUCAGAGAUGAGGGAGUGCCUCUCGGGGAACUACGAGACAGGUGCUGCAUGGCUGUCGUCAGCUCGUGUCGUGAGAUGUUGGGUUAAGUCCCGCAACGAGCGCAACCCCCGCAUCCAGUUGCCAUCAUUAGGUUGGGGACUCUGGAUGGACCACUGCGGUAACAACGCAGAGGAAGGUGGGGAGGACGUCAAGCAAUCAUGGUCCUUACGACCGGGGGUACACACGUGCUACAAUGGUAGUUACAGAGGGUUGCGAAGCCGUAAGGUGGAGCUAAUCUCAUAAAAGCUACGCAAGUUCGGAUUGAGGUCUGCAACUCGACCUCAUGAAGCUGGAAUCGCUAGUAAUCGCGCAACAUCAUGGUGCGGUGAAUAAGUUCCCGGGCCUUGUACUCACCGCCCGUCA